GAUGAAGAACGCAGCGAAAUGCGAUAAGUAAUGUGAAUUGCAGAAUUCCGUGAAUCAUCGAAUCUUUGAACGCACAUUGCGCCCCCUGGUAUUCCGGGGGGCAUGCCUGUCCGAGCGUCAUUGCAACCUUCAAGCGCGGCUUGUGUGUUGGGUCUCGUCCCCCGUGGACGGGCCCGAAAGGCAGUGGCGGCGUCCCGACAUGGUGCCCGAGCGUAUGGGAAUCCUCUUCCGCUCGAAUCGGCCCAUGCGGCGCUGGUCGUAACCAAAUUUUUUACCGGUUGACCUCGGAUCGGGUAGGGAUACCCGCUGAACUUAAGCAUAUCAAUAGCGGAGGA
rnacentral:misc_RNA from 1 species